rnacentral:rRNA from 1 species
AUCCUACGGGGCGCAGCAGUAGGGAAUCUUCCACAAUGGGCGAAAGCCUGAUGGAGCAACGCCGCGCGGGUGAAGAAGGUCUUCGGAUCGUAAAACCCUGUUGUUAGAGAAGAAAGUGCGUGAGAGUAACUGUUCACAUUUCGACGGUAUCUAACCAGAAAGCCACGGCUAACUACGUGCCAGCAGCCGCGGUAAUACGUAGGUGGCAAGCGUUAUCCGGAUUUAUUGGGCGUAAAGGGAACGCAGGCGGUCUUUUAAGUCUGAUGUGAAAGCUUUCGGCUUAACCGGAGGAGUGCAUUGGAAAC